rnacentral:rRNA from 1 species
UAGGGAAUCUUCGGCAAUGGACGAAAGUCUGACCGAGCAACGCCGCGUGAGUGAAGAAGGUUUUCGGAUCGUAAAACUCUGUUGUUAGAGAAGAACAAGGAUGAGAGUAAAAUGUUCAUCCCUUGACGGUAUCUAACCAGAAAGCCACGGCUAACUACGUGCCAGCAGCCGCGGUAAUACGUAGGUGGCAAGCGUUGUCCGGAUUUAUUGGGCGUAAAGCGAGCGCAGGCGGUUUCUUAAGUCUGAUGUGAAAGCCCCCGGCUCAACCGGGGAGGGUCAUUGGAAACUGGGAGACUUGAGUGC